AAAUUAAUGAGCUUGUAUUAAGCAUUUGUUUUGAAAACUUAAUAAAGAACUUAUAAAUUCUAUUAAUUUU
rnacentral:tRNA from 1 species